CUCGGGGAUAGCCUUUCGAAAGAAAGAUUAAUACCCGAUGGCAUAGUUCUUCCGCAUGGUAGAACUAUUAAAGAAUUUCGGUCAUCGAUGGGGAUGCGUUCCAUUAGGUUGUUGGCGGGGUAACGGCCCACCAAGCCUUCGAUGGAUAGGGGUUCUGAGAGGAAGGUCCCCCACAUUGGAACUGAGACACGGUCCAAACUCCUACGGGAGGCAGCAUG
rnacentral:rRNA from 1 species